rnacentral:rRNA from 1 species
AGAGUUUGAUCAUGGCUCAGAAUAAACGCUGGCGGCGUGCCUAACACAUGCAAGUCGAGCGAGAAAGCUCCUUCGGGAGUUAGUAAAGCGGCGAACGGGUGAGCAACGCGUGAGAAUCUACCCUUUAGUGAAGAAUACCCUCGAGAAAUCGAGGCUAAUACUGCAUAAGUCCCUUCGGGGAGAAAGAUGGCCUCUUUGCUAUCGCUAAAGGAUGAGCUUGCGUACUAUUAGCUAGUUGGCGGGGUAAAGGCCCACCAAGGCAAUGAUGGUUAACCGGCCUGAGAGGGUGUACGGUCACACUGGAACUUAGACACGGUCCAGACUCCUACGGGAGGCAGCAGUGAGGAAUCUUGCGCAAUGGGCGAAAGCCUGACGCAGCGACGCCGCGUGAAGGAUGAAGGUCUUCGGAUUGUAAACUUCUGUUAAGCGGGAAGAAAGGCCUGUUUCUAAUACAUGCAGGUUAUGACGGUACCGCUAGAGAAAGCACCGGCUAACUUCGUGCCAGCAGCCGCGGUAAUACGAGGGGUGCAAGCGUUAUUCGGAUUGAUUGGGUGUAAAGGGUGUGCAGACGGUUUGCUAAGUCACUUGUUAAAUUCUUCGGCCUAACUGAAGGUAUGCAGGUGAUACUGGCGAUCUAGAGGGUGGAAGAGAGAAGUGGAAUUCUCGGAGUAGCGGUAAAAUGCGUAGAUCUCGAGAGGAACACCAAUGGCGAAGGCAGCUUCUUGGUCCAUUCCUGACGUUCAUACACGAAAGCGUGGGGAGCAAACAGGAUUAGAUACCCUAGUAGUCC